UGCCAGCAGCCGCGGUAAUACGGAGGGGGCGAGCGUUAUUCGGAAUUACUGGGCGUAAAGGGUGCGUAGGCGGCCCAUCAAGUCGGAGGUGAAAUCCCUCGGCUCAACCGAGGAAUUGCCCCCGAUACUGCAUGGCUUGAGUCCCGGAGAGGGUAGCGGAAUUCCUAGUGUAGCGGUGAAAUGCGUAGAUAUUAGGAGGAACACCAGUGGCGAAGGCGGCUACCUGGACGGGUACUGACACUGAAGCGCGAAAGCGUGGGGAGCAAACAGGAUUAGAUA
rnacentral:rRNA from 1 species